CCCUUAGACGUUCUGGGCCGCACGCGCGCUACACUGACCAGUGCAACAAGCAUCCGUCCUUGGCCGACAGGCCCGGGCAAUCUUUGAACAUCGAUCGUGAUCGGGAUAGAUUCUUGUAAUUUUUGAUCUUAAACGAGGAAUUCCUAGUAAACGCAAGUCAUCAGCUUGCAUUGAUUACGUCCCUGCCCUUUGUACACACCGCCCGUCGCACCUACCGAUUGAAUGGUCCGGUGAAAUCUCCGGACUGGCGUGAGUCGGAGCAAUCUGACAAACGCCGGAAAGUUGAUUAAACCUUACCAUUUAGAGGAAGGUGAAGUCGUAACA
rnacentral:rRNA from 1 species